rnacentral:lncRNA from 1 species
CCAGAUGGGCAUUUAAUGUUGGAUUUUUACCCUGGUCUAAAAAUCGACCACCUAGCCGGCCGCCUGGGUGCUACGCGUUACUCUUCCACCCUGAUUUAUGCAAAAUCGGUUUUAAAAAUCGGAUAUCCGAUUUUUUCCGCCUAGACCGCCUAAUUGACCGCCUAGCCGCCUAAUCUUUUUUUAUUUUUAUUUAUUUUUUGAUCUAAAAUCUUAUAAAUAUCAAUUUAUAUUCAUAAUUUUGAUGAAAGUUACACUAUAUUAAGUUUAUAUAUUAUAUUUGAGUUUUAUACAGUCUUAAACAUGAAAAUAUAUUAAUGUCAUACACAAUUAAAGAUUAACAUGUUUUAUAACAUAGUAAAACAAUCUAAAAAUUAUGUCCCACAUAAUUUCUAAAUAAUUCCUGAUUUUCUCUUUAUGCGCUAGGCCCAACCCGACCGUCCGACUGGCGCCUAACACGUUCCCUAACAGGGGUAUUUUAUGCCCAUGACUAGACUAAUUUUCUCAUUACUGAAUCUGUUUGUGUGUAUAAUUUGCAUGAAAAGCUAGAAAAAUAUGUUAUGUGAACAAAAUAAAAAGCUAUAAAGAUGAUGAGUAUGUUUUAACAAAAUUAGCAAAGAAACAAGAAUAGUGAGUUGCAUGUUCUUUCGCAAUACUUUUGGGGUUAAUCACUUUCCACGAAGUUUCCAUUAUAAUCUCUUUGUCAUUCUCCGAAAAAAAAAAAAAUCCAUUAUAAAUAAUCGGUGCACUGAAUCAGUUAAACGCGUAAAGGUUCAUUUAGCAACGACUCUUCGAAAUGAGAAGGGUUUAAUU